rnacentral:lncRNA from 1 species
GAAGAAGAAGUGAAAUCAAGAGUGGGGCCCAUGGUUCCGCCCAGCAAAGAGUGUGGAAACAUUUGAGUAUCUACGUGCAAUAAGCCUAUCCACAUAGGCUUAAGGGUGAGUCACAGCAGCUGAAAGAAACCAGAAAGCUCUCCAAGGAAGAAGGAACCAGAAGGAACCCUCAGAGGAACCCCAGGGCACCAUCUGAGAUGAAGCUAUGCAAAGCUUCUCAGCAUGAAACCUGGCAUACAAGAGCUUGGCCUCCAAGAGAUGUUUUUAAAGCUAAUUGUCGGGAAUGGAGUUAUGUUCUGUGAAGAAGCCAUAAACACUGAAUUAGUGAAUAGUGAACCGUUUUUCCUAGGGGAAAUACAAGAUGGAGUCUCUCUGUCGCCCAGGCUGGAGUGCAGUGGCACGAUCUCGGCUCACUGCAAUGUCUGCCUCCCGGGUUCAAGCGAUUCUUCUGCCUCAGCCUCCUGAGUAGCUGGGAUUACAGGUGCCUGCCACCACACUCGACUAAAUUUUUGUAUUUUUAGUAGAGACAGGGUUUCACCAUGUUGCCCAGGCUGGUCUCGAACUCCUGACCUCAGGUGAUCCAGCUUGGGCCAUUUUAAACAGCAAAAUCACCAACAUGUAAACCCAAAAAUAAAAUUCUAAGGCCCUCCAACCAUCUGAAAUGGACCCCUCCUCUCAGUCAAGGGCAUUCCAAAGUGAACAUAAAAAAAUGAGUUCAGGCCAUGAUGGGAAGGGGGCGCUGGACAUGCCUCAUGCUACCCUCCUCCCUGUUGGGAUUACUGAUAGGGCAGUCUCUUCAAGUCUGAUAAAAAUAUUUACAAUGUGUUCUCACUCAAGCCUGCUACCUGGAGGCUUCGUCUGCAUGAUAAAGUCUUGGUCUCCAUAACCCCUUCUCAUAAUCCAGACAUUCCUUUCUAUUGAUAAUAACUCUCUCAACCAAGUGCCAAUCAGAAAAUCUUUGAAUCCACCGACGACUUGGAAGCUCCCCCGGCCCCCUCAACUUCAAUGUACAUCAUACAUGUAUUGAUUGAUAACUGUGUCUCCCUAAAAUGUACAAAACCAAGUUGUGGCCUGACCACUUUGGGAACAUGGUCUCAGGAUCUCCUGAGGGCUGUGUCAUGGGCCAUAGGUGACUUAUAUUUGGCUCAGAAUAAAUCUAAUAUUUUACAGAGUUGGACUCUUUUCAUUAACAAACAAAAAGCACACAAAUGUGAAAAACAAGACACUAAAUAGACUGCAAAAAAUGACCCUGGCUUCCAGGAUGAGGGCUGAAACAAGAUGGGAGACUGUCGCCUCAUUCCCCUUCAGCUGGAAACAUGCACAUUGGGUGAUAUGGUUUGGCUGUGUCCCCAAACGAAUCUCAUCUUGUAGUUCUCAUAAUCCCCACGUGUGGUGGGAGGAACCUGGUGAUGUUCUCAUGAUAGUGAGUGAGUUCUCAUGAGAUCUGAUGG